AUUGAACGCUGGCGGUAUGCCUUACACAUGCAAGUCGAACGGCAGCACGGGAGCAAUCCUGGUGGCGAGUGGCGAACGGGUGAGUAAAGUAUCGGAACGUGCCCAGUCGUGGGGGAUAACGUAGCGAAAGUUACGCUAAUACCGCAUACGAUCUAUGGAUGAAAGCGGGGGAUCGCAAGACCUCGCGCGAUUGGAGCGGCCGAUAUCAGAUUAGGUAGUUGGUGGGGUAAAGGCUCACCAAGCCGACGAUCUGUAGCUGGUCUGAGAGGACGGCCGGCCACACUGGGACUGAGACACGGCCCAGACUCCUACGGGAGGCAGCAGUGGGGAAUUUUGGACAAUGGGCGAAAGCCUGAUCCAGCCAUGCCGCGUGCAGGAUGAAGGCCUUCGGGUUGUAAACUGCUUUUGUACGGAACGAAAAGGUUUGGGCUAAUAAGCUGAGCUCAUGACGGUACCGUAAGAAUAAGCACCGGCUAACUACGUGCCAGCCGCCGCCGUAA
rnacentral:rRNA from 1 species